rnacentral:rRNA from 1 species
CCCUUAGAUGUUCUGGGCCGCACACGCGCUACACUGGCAGGUUCAUCGAGCUUCAUGCCCUGAUCUGAGAAGAACGGGAAAUCUUUGAACACCUGCCGUGCUUGGGAUAGAUGUUUGCAAUUAUUCAUCUUCAACGAGGAUUGCCUUGUAAGCGCACGUCAUCAGCGUGCAUUGAAUACGACCCUGUAUUCUGUACACACCGCCCGUCGCUCCUACCGAUUGAAGUUUUCGGUGAAUUUACUGGAGAUCCCUUUUGAAGGUGGUUCGCCACUGGAAGAAGUAUUCAAAAGUAAAUGAAGCGAAUGCUUUAGAGGAAGGAGAAGUCGUAACA